CUCCAGGAAAUGCUCAAUGGUUUUGGUUUUAGAUUAUCAUAACCAGUGAGCUAAUCCAUGUUUUUAGCUGCUAACAAUGCUGUCACUGAACAAUUUGCGGAUUAUGUGCACACCACAGGCUCUUCAGCAUUCACAUACAUUAUUUGUGAACAGACAAUGCGUAUCUAAGGCUUCCUCCUUUUAUGCAAAACUAUACAACAACUCGAUCACCUUCACUAGCAGUAAGGACACUAGGCACAACAACGGCAUAGAUUUCAGAUCACAGAAUGAAAGUAAGGUGAAACAUGUCAAUUCACUGGAAAGGACGUUCUGCACAGCGUCUGUAAAACUGAACUGUUAGAACUGUAGACAGUCUGUUGAACAAACUCCAGCCUUCUUCUGUUUAUAUUGUAAUUCUGUCCAGCCUCCAGAUGAGGGAGUAUCCUUCCAGAUUAUGGAUUGCUGGAGCUGAAGAUCAUGCACAUAGAAGAGGGGACGGAUAAUGGGGCCAAUCCUAUGUUUCUUAUGGAGUUGAUGGAGAUAACGAAGCUCUGGAUGAGGCAUAGAGCAAAGAAGAAACGGACAAGAUUGGUGCCUCUAUGAAAGAGAAAUUGAAAGACUUGACUGAACAAAUAGAUCCAUCUCUGCACAAAGGAGAGCGUCAAGCUGCCAAAACACUUCUCGCCCAAAUGAAAUACAUUGCGAGCAUUGAAACAAGGUGAAGGAAAAACUUUUAGAGCUAAUGUAAACUUUGUUUACUUGAUACUUAUUGGGUCUUUUUAAAGCUGUUUUGAAAGUCUUCAAUAAUUCUAAUAAUACAAUUAGUAUUUAUUUAUUUAUUAUGUACAGUAUUUGUUAAAGUUUCAGGUAUACUAAUAAAUGUCAAA